rnacentral:rRNA from 1 species
UACGUAGGUGGCAAGCGUUGUCCGGAUUUACUGGGCGUAAAGAGCGCGCAGGCGGUCGUCCAAGUCGCGUGUGAAAGCCCCCGGCUCAACUGGGGAGGGUCACGCGAUACUGGUCGACUCGAAGGCAGGAGAGGGUAGUGGAAUUCCCGGUGUAGUGGUGAAAUGCGUAGAUAUCAGGAGGAACACCGGUGGCGAAGGCGCUCAUCUGGCCCAAUACUGACGCUGAAGCGCGAAAGCCAGGGGAGCGAACGGG